GCUUACGGUUAGCUGGUCUGAGAGGAUGGUCAGCCACACUGGGACUGAGACACUGCCCAGACUCCUACGGGAGGCUGCAGUCGAGGAUCAUUCGCAAUGCGCGAAAGCGUGACGAUGCGACGCUGCGUGGAGGAUGACGGCCUUCGGGUUGUAAACUCCUGUCAUGAGGGAAAAGCCGUCCUGUGGUGAAUAUCCACGGGACCCGAUGGUACCUCAAGAGGAAGCCACGGCUAACUCUGUGCCAGCAGCCGCGGUAAUACAGAGGUGGCUAGCGUUGUUCGGAUUUACUGGGCGUAAAGCGUGCGUAGGUGGCUUCGUAUGUCGGUUGUGAAAGCCCACGGCUUAACCGUGGAAAUGCGACCGAAACUGCGGGGCUUGAGUGCAGGAGGGGAGAGCGGAAUUCUUGGUGUAGCGGUGAAAUGCGUUGAUAUCAUGAAGAACACCGGUGGCGAAGGCGGCUCUCUGGAAUGUUACUGACACUGAGGCACGAAAGCUGGGGGAGCAAACAGGAUUAGAUACCCUGGUAGUCCCAGCCGUAAACGGUGCGCACUUGGUGUUGGCGGAAUUGACCCCGCCAGUGCCGGAGCUAACGCAUUAAGUGCGCCGCCUGGGGAGUACGGCCGCAAGGUUAAAACUCAAAGAAAUUGACGGGGGCCCGCACAAGCGGAGGAGCAUGUGGCUUAAUUCGAUGCAACGCGAAGAACCUUACCUGGGCUUGACAUGUAACUGCACGUCCUGUGAAAGCAGGAUUCCUUCGAGGGUGUUACACAGGUGCUGCAUGGCUGUCGUCAGUUCGUGCCGUGAGGUGUUGGGUUAAGUCCCGCAACGAACGCAACCCCUAUGUUUAGUUGCCACCGCAGGUGAUGAGCCUGCGAGCACUCUAGACAGACUGCCUGUACAAGCAGGAGGAAGGUGGGGACGACGUCAAGUCAGUAUGGCCCUUACGCCCAGGGCUGCACACGUGCUACAAUGGCCGGUACAGAAGGACGCAAUACCGCGAGGUGGAGCAAAUCCCCAAAACCGGCCCCAGUUCGGAUUGCAGUCUGCAACUCGACUGCAUGAAGUUGGAUUCGCUAGUAACGGCGCAUCAGCUACGGCGCCGUGAAUACGUUCCCGGGCCUUGUACACACCGCCCGUCACAUCAUAAAAGCCGUCUGCACCCGAAGUCGCUGAGCCAACCCGCAAGGGAGGCAGGUGCCGAAGGUGUGGGUGGUGAUUGGGAUGAAGUC
rnacentral:rRNA from 1 species